UUCUGGGAGGAUUGACAGAUUGAGAGCUCCUUCUUGACUCUGUGGAUGGUGGUGCAUGUCCGUUCUUAGUUGUUGGAGCGAUUUGUCUGAUUGAUUCCGACAUGCCUAUUAAAUAGGUCCGUGGUUCUCUGCAUCUUGCACCCUUCUUAGGGGAAAAGCGGGUUUAUACUUCGUGUCACCCUACGAUGAACUAAAGGCAAAUGCUACGGACCGCCAGAUCAGGUCACGAGCCCCUUAGACAUUGUGCGGUAUUUCGCAUCGAUGCACGUAUCGGAUCUCGCGUCUCGGAUCACUAAUCAGGAGAUGGGUGGACAGUGGCUCGAAUUGAAGAGCACUGAGGCUCUUAAGAAUUUUACAUCGCAAAGAAAGCCACGACAUAUAGGCUCUUUGCAGCAUGGAAGCUAUAAAAAUGAUACGGCGCUUUUAGGUACAGAGGAUUAUUCGCCCGCCCCUGAUGAAUGUUAAGUGUGUCAUAGUAUAGCGUGGAAUGGGAUUGGACCUGGCGGCCCGUAGCUUCGGCCUUUAGUCCGUCGUAGGAUGAGACACAGUAUAGCCGCACGAAACAGAGAAAUAACAGGUUUGUGAUGCCCCUAGAU
rnacentral:rRNA from 1 species